rnacentral:tRNA from 1 species
AGUCCCGUGGUGAAUUUCACA